rnacentral:rRNA from 1 species
UACGUAUGUCGCAAGCGUUAUCCGGAUUUAUUGGGCGUAAAGCGCGUCUAGGCGGCAAGAAAAGUCUGAUGUGAAAAUGCGGGGCUCAACCCCGUAUUGCGUUGGAAACUGCCUUGCUAGAGUACUGGAGAGGUAGGCGGAACUACAAGUGUAGAGGUGAAAUUCGUAGAUAUUUGUAGGAAUGCCGAUGGGGAAGCCAGCCUACUGGACAGAUACUGACGCUAAAGCGCGAAAGCGUGGGUAGCAAACAGG